UACGAAGGGGGCUAGCGUUGCUCGGAAUUACUGGGCGUAAAGCGCACGUAGGCGGCUUUCUAAGUCGGGGGUGAAAUCCUGGAGCUCAACUCCAGAACUGCCUUCGAUACUGGAGAGCUUGAGUCCGGGAGAGGUGAGUGGAACUGCGAGUGUAGAGGUGAAAUUCGUAGAUAUUCGCAAGAACACCAGUGGCGAAGGCGGCUCACUGGCCCGGUACUGACGCUGAGGUGCGAAAGCGUGGGGAGCAAACAGA
rnacentral:rRNA from 1 species